AUGGUUAAAGAAACGCAUUUGUCGCAGGGCGGGUAAUAUAUUCUAGAGUUCGAAUAUAUUUGUGUUGCAGAGAUAAUAAAAAUAUGUGUUAGCUGAAACAUUUUUAGAUGUCGGAAUAUGGUUGGUCCUUAUAAUACACCAUUGUCCAGACUUAAAAAACAAGAUAUACACCAACGACCAUUUAGAUCUUCUACCCACCAGAAACUAAGACAAUCUAAAGGACCUGCUGGGAAAAGUGACUUAAAUAACGAAGAAAGUCCUCAAACUACUGAAGCAAUGGAUGAAGAUGUGUUGGUGUGUGGGAAAUGUGGUACAGCUUUUAAUAACAUUCAUUAUUUCAUCGACCAUAAAACAUCGGCAUGCAAGUCAUUGGAAGGCGCAAUAUCUGUCAAUGAAUCAGAUUCAGACUCGAAAGGU